rnacentral:rRNA from 1 species
UGCGUAGGUGGCGCGCUAAGUCAGGUGUGAAAUUUCGGAGCUUAACUCCGAAACUGCAUUUGAUACUGGCGUGCUUGAGGACUGGAGAGGAGACUGGAAUUCAUGGUGUAGCAGUGAAAUGCGUAGAGAUCAUGAGGAAGACCAGUGGCGAAGGCGGGUCUCUGGACAGUUCCUGACACUGAGACACGAAGGCCAGGGGAGCAAAC